rnacentral:rRNA from 1 species
UACGUAGGGUGCAAGCGUUGUCCGGAAUUAUUGGGCGUAAAGAGCUCGUAGGCGGUCUGUCGCGUCGGAUGUGAAAAUCCAGGGCUCAACCCUGGACCUGCAUUCGAUACGGGCAGACUAGAGUUCGGCAGGGGAGACUGGAAUUCCUGGUGUAGCGGUGAAAUGCGCAGAUAUCAGGAGGAACACCGGUGGCGAAGGCGGGUCUCUGGGCCGUAACUGACGCUGAGGAGCGAAAGCAUGGGGAGCGAACAGG